rnacentral:tRNA from 1 species
GGCGUAGCCUGGAGAAAACCCGAAAAUGGCUUUCACAACUUUGCCAAGGUUGGGGUCGAGGGUUCGAAUCCCUUCGCCCGCUCCA